rnacentral:lncRNA from 1 species
GGUGGUCUCAGUGGCAGGUUUAUUGGUGCUGUUUUCUCCUGCCAGGCUGCCAUUGUGGCUCUCCAGGGUGCUAACAUUGAGGGUGGAAGGUGUGUCAAGGGCUGGAUGGUCCUCAUCUCCAACAGAGAGCACCUCUAUUCUGGAAGGACACGUCUGUUCUGUCCCUCCAGCCUGUGGAGAUACUGUAUGACGGGAUACCUGAGCUGGGGUUUACUGAGGAGUUGUGUCACUCUAGGAGAAGAUUAGGUGACCAUUGCGUCUCCCUGGAUACCUGAUCAGGUUACAGAUGGGCCGGCAUACCUAUUUGGAGGCACUGGGGCAUUGGGCAUAUGAAGACACCAAGGAUUAGCAUAGGAAAAAUUAAGAUGGUCAUAUUUAAACUACUUGAACUCAUUGGGUCAGUGGUGUAGGAGAAAAUAAUAAGAAAUAAUAGAGAAAGAUGGGAGGAUAGACUGAUGAUGUGAAGAGAGAAGAUAAGAGGGAUGUAAUAGUUAAUCUGUAAUGAUGUUAACUAUAAAGGCCAAUUAUUAAACCACUCAAUGAUCAACUAUUUAAUUUUAUGUAUUUUAUGUUUGGUUAUGCUUAAAUGGCCAGUUCUAAUAUUAGUUUUCACUCCAUCUCCUCAACACCCCAUUAUUCCACCCCAUCUCCUCAACACCCCAUUACUCCACCCCAUCUCCUCAUCAUCAUAUAACUCCACCCCAUCUCCUCAACACCCCAUUACUCCACCUCAUCUCCUCAACACCCCAUUACUCCACCCCAUCUCCUCAUCAUCAUAUAACUCCACCCCAUCUCCUCAACACCCCAUUACUCCACCCCAUCUCCUCAACACCCCAUUACUCCACCCCAUAUCCUCAACACCCCAUCUCUCCACCCCAUCUCCUCAACAUCCCGUUACUCCACCCAUUUUCUCAAAACCCCAUUACUCCACUCCAUCUCCUCAACACCCCAUUACUCUACCCCAUCUCCUCAACAUCCCGUUGCUCCACCCCAUCUCCUCAUCAUCCCAUUACUCCACCCUAUCUCCUCAACAACACAUUACUCUGUCUCAUUUCCUCAACAUCCCUUUACUCCAUCCCAUCUCCUCCACACCCAAUUACUCCACCCAUCUCCUCCACACCCAAUUACUUCACCCCAUCUCCUCAAAACCCCAUUAAGGUCAGGACUUUACAAAUAAUUAUUUUUACCUAUAACACAGGUAGUGACUGAUGAACUCAAUGGAGCUAAGAAGUGAGUAAACUUGACUCUUCUCAAAGUAAUACUUUAUGUCCUUAUGACCUGAAUUCUAAUUGUUUCUGUAUUUGUUAUUUCACUAUCAGUGGUGAAAUUCCCCCCUACAGAUAUGAGAGUUUUAAACCAACUUUGGCCAGUUAGUUUAAGUAUGUGUCCUGCAUGACUAGAUAAUAAUAAUACUCUGAAGAGGAGAUUUUAGAGGCCUGCUCUAUGUUAAUAGAUGGGUAUGAGCCGCAAUUCAAUGAUCAUUUGUGUUGUCUGAGCUGCUGUCAUAGGAGAGGCCUGUGGUUUUCCUUUCAUGUCUUAUUUAAAGGGGCCUGUAUUGAACUUUCUUCAUUCUUCAUGUUUGUUUGUGUGCUUUUUAAUAAAACCCAGAAAAUAAUCCA